AUACGUAGGGUGCGAGCGUUGUCCGGAAUUACUGGGCGUAAAGAGCUCGUAGGUGGUUUGUCGCGUCGUCUGUGAAAUUCCGGGGCUUAACUCCGGGCGUGCAGGCGAUACAGGCAUAACUUGAGUACUGUAGGGGAGACUGGAAUUCCUGGUGUAGCGGUGAAAUGCGCAGAUAUCAGGAGGAACACCGGUGGCGAAGGCGGGUCCCUUGGCAGUAACUGGCACUGAGGAGCGAAAGCAUGGGUAGCGAACAGGAUUAGAUCCCCUGGUAGUCCAUGCCGUAAACGGUGGGCGCUAGGUGUAGGGGUCUUCCACGACUUCUGUGCCGUAGCUAACGCAUUAAGCGCCCCGCCUGGGGAGUACGGCCGCAAGGUUGAAACUCAAAGGAAUUGACGGG
rnacentral:rRNA from 1 species